rnacentral:rRNA from 1 species
UACAGAGGGUGCUAGCGUUAAUCGGAUUUACUGGGCGUAAAGCGUGUGUAGGCGGUUCGUUAAGUCGGGCGUGAAAGCCCUCGGCUCAACCGAGGAAGUGCACCCGAAACUGCUGAGCUUGAGUGCCGGAGAGGAUGGCGGAAUUCCCCAAGUAGAGGUGAAAUUCGUAGAUAUGGGGAGGAACACCGGUGGCGAAGGCGGCCAUCUGGACGGUAACUGACGCUGAGACGCGAAAGCGUGGGGAGCAAACAGG